CGUCUAAAAACCGUCAAAACAAUGCGACGUUUGUAUCGUAUGACCCUGGAAAGGCCAGAAAUGGUUCGCAAGGUCAAAUUGCGCCUACACGCGUGAGUUUGACGUCAUACCGGCCAACAGGAGCUUCUUAUUGGCCAAUUAUUGCGUAAUGUUCGCAAGUGCGAGUAAAACCCGACAUCUUGAAAAAUUCAAAAUAAAUAUUUCUGGUCUGCGUAUACCAUAGCGAAAGCGCUUGGAUACAAAGAGUAUUUUACACAUAUAGCCGUUCAGAAAAUGACGAAAAGUUCAAGAGAUAUUCAAAAUCUUGUAGAUAUAAAAUCUAGAAUCUUUGGCCAAGCGGUGAGUAAAUAUAUGAUUGUUUCGGUUUGUGUAAUGCUCUGACGGCACUUGACCCCCCGUUCGAAAGGUUAUUUUAUGAGGAUUUCAAUGGUGGCUUUUAUUUACAAGGGGGGUAAAUACUCGCCGAGAUAAUUAUAUUAGAAAAAUUGUGUCGUAAUCUGAUGCGAAAGGGGGUGGUUAAAUAAAAAUUUACGAUCAGAUUCGGAAACUUGUUUGUUUUUUUAUGAUCACAAAAUAUGUAUAGUGGGCAUCGCGUGUUCAUUAAAUGGAGCGCAAUACAAAUUGCUUUGAAUUCUAAUGCCUGCAAGAGAAACGUUUUUGCGUAAGUGCUGUGCAUGUAAUAAGGGUGAACAGAGCACGUUUCGAAUACCAAUGUCAUUAACAGUGUAGCUCAGUUGGUUAGAGCUCUGCACAGGAAUCGCAGUGCCGCAGGUUCGAUUCCUGACAGAGAGAGGAUAGUUGGAUUUUUCGCAACUGCUCCUGGUUAGGUCUAAUAAAUGUAUAAUAAACAUUCCACUGGAAAUUUCCAUCAACAAAUCUCUUUGACAAUCAGAUUAAAUCCAGAGAUUGCUCAGUGUUCUGAUAGGGUAGCAGCUUUUGGCAGAUUUCUAUUGAAUCAAUCAUAUUUGUAAUAUUAUAAUCACUAUGAACAUAAUUAAAGAGAUUACCAGUUCUAUUAAAAUCAGCACAGAAUUUGAAACGUUUUCUCAUACUGCUUUCAGAAUGAUGGCAAAGUGAUCUGUUAAUAUCAACCACUUUGCAAUGUCAAGGAUUAUCAGGAAUUUUCCAAAAUAAUUUGUACAUAACUACCUGAAAAUAAAAGCUCAGUUUAAAGGCAUGAUUUGGUAGUAUAAUUUAGUGUUUCCAGUGCAGGUUGGU